rnacentral:rRNA from 1 species
UACGUAGGGUGCGAGCGUUGUCCGGAAUUACUGGGCGUAAAGAGCUCGUAGGUGGUUUGUCGCGUUGUUCGUGAAAACUCACAGCUCAACUGUGGGCGUGCGGGCGAUACGGGCAGACUGGAGUACUGCAGGGGAGACUGGAAUUCCUGGUGUAGCGGUGGAAUGCGCAGAUAUCAGGAGGAACACCGGUGGCGAAGGCGGGUCUCUGGGCCGUAACUGGACGCUGAGAAGCGAAAGCAUGGGGAGCGAACAGG